rnacentral:rRNA from 1 species
AGAGUUUGAUCCUGGCUCAGGAUGAACGCUAGCGGCAGGCCUAAUACAUGCAAGUCGAGGGGCAGCACGGUAGCAAUACUGGUGGCGACCGGCGCACGGGUGCGUAACGCGUAUGCAACUUACCCUUUACAGGGAGAUAGCCCGGAGAAAUUCGGAUUAAUAUCCCAUAGUAUAUAGAUUUGGCAUCAGAUUUAUAUUAAAGAUUUAUCGGUAAAGGAUGGGCAUGCGUGUCAUUAGCUAGUUGGUGAGGUAAUGGCUCACCAAGGCGACGAUGACUAGGGGUACUGAGAGGUUACACCCCCACACUGGUACUGAGACACGGACCAGACUCCUACGGGAGGCAGCAGUAAGGAAUAUUGGACAAUGGGCGAGAGCCUGAUCCAGCCAUGCCGCGUGCAGGAUGACGGUCCUAUGGAUUGUAAACUGCUUUUGUAUGGGAAUAAACCCAGAUACGUGUAUCUGGCUGAAUGUACCAUAAGAAUAAGGAUCGGCUAACUCCGUGCCAGCAGCCGCGGUAAUACGGAGGAUCCAAGCGUUAUCCGGAUUUAUUGGGUUUAAAGGGUGCGUAGGCGGGACAGUAAGUCAGUGGUGAAAUCCUAUCGCUUAACGAUAGAAUUGCCAUUGAUACUGCUGACCUUGAGUACAAAUGAUGUGGGCGGAAUGUGCAGUGUAGCGGUGAAAUGCUUAGAUAUUGCACAGAACACCGAUAGCGAAAGCAGCUCACAAAAAUGUAACUGACGCUGAGCACGAAAGUAU